GUGGAUCAUGGGGAGUACCACCAGUUAGUCCAGGAGCUUCGCCUCCAUGAUGGCCAUUUCUAGGCAUAUUUAAGGAUGAUUCGGGGGCAGUUUGACAACCUGCUGUCUAUCGUCAGUCUGUAUAGCUCUGGGUAUCCAGCAACCACUACCACCAGUUUCUCCUCCAUUGUUUACCAACUGUAAACUUAUUUUUGUGACCACCACAGAAGACCCAACACCUCUCAAGUCAUUCAUUUGGAAAGUGGGAUUAAAGAUUACCAAAAAAGAGAUGACGUGGAGCGCUUUUUCGCUCUGAGUUGAAUUUUUUUCAACUCAAGGAGUUCAGAGAGCUCCGGCAAAAACACCAGGCACCUGGAGUGCAGAAACAUGAGGUGCGUUGCAGCGCAACAACCAUGAGCAAAAAGCUUAAUUCGCAUUAAAAACAAUUACAAAAAGGCCCCUCCAGCUGCUAAAAUGCUUUCUGUGUGAUCAGGGCUAAAGACUACCCAGCACUGCACAAAUGCCCAUGUUUUCUGUUGUUAACAGCUGUUCCAAUCAAUACAACUGGAAAAAAUAAAGGCCACUUUAAAUCCCAAAAAUCGUAGGACGUAAAGGGGAGAAGAAACAAAAAACACACAGAGAAACAGCGGCAGAUGUGAAUGAAAAACCUCCAUCUUUACUCUGGAGACGCGGAGUCAACUUAUUUUAAACGUAAACGUCAAAGCCUUGUGUUAAACGUGCCUCGAGUUGGGUGCAAUUGUAAUGUGCUGGGACAACUUCUCAGUGUUUUAAGCCAAGACAGAUUUUUAACAGCAUUUCACCAGACCUCUGGUAGCAGUCGACCAGAUCUGAUCUGAUCCCGAUCAGUUAAAAAGUAUCCUGAGCACCCCUGAUACUAAUCUUUUAGGUUGGAUCUGGACAGCCCUAAUUUAAAUUCUGUUUUUAAUUGUGUCAAAGUUAUUUUGUUUUAUUCUGGGCAAUCUGUUAUUCAAAUACAUACAUAUACACAUAUAAUGGUUUUAAGACAGGAUUUACAGCACAGAUACACUCAGCCUUGUAAGGGAUUCCUUGAAGCCACCUGAGUAGUACAGCAUUUGCCCUGGCAGUACUCCUGUAAUGGAUUAGCUCCAUGUACUGUCACUACAUGAGCUAGCUGAGCAGUAGCGCCAUCACAUGUUGAGAAGUUGUCAUGUUGUCUUCCUCAGCAGCGGGCAGCAACAUCCUCUUCUUGCCCCUGGCCUGUAAUGUUAUGCAGCUGUUAUCAGCCUGCUGUUGCACAUCUGUCCACGUUACUCUUUCCUCCACUUUAUUUGCUGUCGCCGGCAAACUGUUGUUCUUGUUGUCACUGCUGCUAAGGCUAAAAACACUUUGAAGCAUCAGCCAUGAUACUUUUUUCCUUUUGUCUCUGACCUUUUCUGCUCCACCUUUUCAUUUUUUUAGCUUCUUUAUCCAACUUGUUUGUUGUCCCGUUUACUUUUCACUUACUUUGUUCUUUGUGUCGUAUAUCAACUUGAUGGGGUUGGGGGAGAUGAAUCACAAGUAUUUAAGACAAACUUAGAUUGGACACAAUUCAACACCUGAGGUGUCGGAUUUACCCAGAUGCCUUUUUAAAGGAGAAGUCCAGUAUUUUGCACUUUAAGCCCCAUUUCUGGGUUGUUUAUGAUGAAAUAGAGUGGUUAAGACCAAAAUUGUGACGAUUGCUCCUUUUCAGAGAACUUGGCUCUCCCCUGCCUGGCUUAACAGUGCUGCCGAUGGCCAUGUGUAUAUCUGUCCUAAAACCACCCUAAACGUUCAUUUUCAAAGCCAUGAACCUCACCAGGUGGUCAGUGGUGUUCGUUGAUGUUCUAACAUAAAAAUCGUAGCAAACUGUGGUUUCCAUCCUGUUUUCGCUAUUCAUCUCAAUUGUGGAUCUAUUUUUUCAGCUGCCUCACACUCGUGUGUAAACUUCCGCUUGAUCGUUCGUUUGACCCUGAAGCGUUAUACACUCCAGCCCACUUGAUGGCGAUAAAGCUCCUUUACGUGGGUGUCGCCAACCGGCAGGAAACCAUUGUAAUGUAAUAGGACACAGAGAAGAAGCAGAAGAAGCAGGUUGGCGUUGUGUUCAAAGGAGCGCACACAGCACUGUGGAGCUGGCACUUUAGCUGAGCUGAAUACCGGACUUCUCCUUCAAGAUGGGGUUCAGAUUUUUCAAGCCUGUCUACAUUCAAUACUUGGAUCCCAUAUGAAUGAUGAAAGACUCUUUGGUCGUUGUAAUUGUCCCUCAACUGUGUCUCUUUGUCCGGAGACUUGUGUAGGAUUGUUACAGAUGUUUUGUCUCGGCAAGAAAUCCAAGUGAUUACCACGACAUAUUCCUUCGCCCAGCUCAGAUGGAAAACAGUGUGUGGAAAGAGGGAAUUUUCUGUUGAUCAACAAAUUGAUAAAUCAUUUCAGCUCUAACGUUGUAUUCUGUCGGAUAAUUUAGUCUUUAAAAAUGCAUCAUGUUUUUGGAGUUCCUUGUGUUUUGUGUGCGAAAUCUUAAUUUGGAAAGUGACUACAGCUGUCAAAUAAAUGUAUUGCAGUAUUUUCA